rnacentral:rRNA from 1 species
GACGAACGCUGGCGGCGUGCUUAACACAUGCAAGUCACGGGGGCGUCGCAAGAGCAACCGGCGAACGGGUGCGUAACACGUGAGCAACCUGCCGAUCUGAGGGGGAGUAGCCGGCCCAACCGGCCGGGUAAUACCGCAUACGUUCUCGAGGGGGAGUCCUCUUGGGAAGAAACCUCCGGGGCAGAUCGAGGGGCUCGCGGCCUAUCAGCUAGUUGGCGGUGUAAUGGACCACCAAGGCUA